ensembl:lncRNA
AUCAGGAGGAGAGCCUCCCCAGUAUCAUUAAUCCUGUCUCACUCAGUGCUGUUCACAGUGUCAAACACUUCAGUAGCUACUACAGUAACUGAAUGGGCUUCUGAUCCAGUUUCUCUUUGUGUUGGACUCCUAGAUCCAGAUCCUCCUCACAUCAGGAAAAGAGACAGUAAUGAGUUGAUUCCUCCAGACAUGGGAGGAGAGAGUCCUGCAGAUGAUCCAGAUCCUCCUCACAUCAGGAAAAGAGACAGUAAUGAGUUGAUUCCUCCAGACAUGGGAGGAGAGAGUCCUGCAGAUGGUGAGUAUGAGAAAUGCCAACCUAAUACACUCUGGAAACUAAACCCGCUGUCCAGCAUGU